rnacentral:lncRNA from 1 species
CGACGCCGCCGCGGCCGCCGCUUGCUUGCCCGCCGUUGUUCCUCAGUGGGUGCCGGCUGCUCGUCGACGGCGAGCGUGCCCCGCGCUCCGUGAACGCUCGCUAGGCCUAACCCCCUGCGCCGCCAGCUUUCGCCGCACUUUCGCCGCGCCGUUGCGCGCGAUUUGCAUCGUCUUCCCGUGGCUGUGAACGUGUGGGUGUCCCCUCCCGACGCUCGUGCAGACGUCGGCGUCAGCAGCGCGAGCGCCCGGACGCCUCGCUCUAGAGUGGGUGCGCGUUUUGAGUGUUUUUGCUCCGCGCGUGUGGUGUUGUGUUGUGUGUGCUCUUCGGCGGCUCGGACGACUUCGGGCCCGCCGCACCGGCGCCUCGUCGACGGCGUGCCCGCCACUUCGAAAGUCGAGUUGCCCGUUAAAGCACGAGGUUUUCACCCCUCUACCAAUUUGGCAACUUGUCUCGAGCCGCCGCAAGUGGUCGUUGUUACAACCGCCACAAGACGAGGCUCAUUUCAACGCUCACCCUGAGUGACGGAGGGAGGCCUCUCCCGUCGAUGUUCAACGGCCCCUGACUUGUGCCCGUGGAUUCCAUCCGGUUACUUCUUGCGACAAAAAAAAAAUCUGCACCUCGGGACUGAGGCCGAGCGACCAGCAGGAAACUGUGGGUGACGACGGCGGCGCCUCGAGAUUCGCCCCUCGGAUGGCGCGCGUGGGCCCGAGGGUAGCAGCACGGCCGCCGAGCGGAGGGUGCCGGCGCCGCCCCGCCGGGCCGCGGGUCGCCGCCGCCGCGACUGCUGCGGCCUGAGCGGCGGCCGAGCGUCGUCCGCCAGCCGCACCACCAUGGCCGCGGCCCAGUCCUCGUCGGCCGGCCCGGGCCCCGGCGGCACGGGACUCGCCGGGGCCACGCUGCUGCGAGCCGGCAUCUACGUGAGACACGUGCGACACAGGCGGUUCCUCGCCAGGACC